rnacentral:rRNA from 1 species
UCGGGUUGUAAAGCACUUUUGUCCGGAAAGAAAACUUCGGGGCUAAUACCUCUGGAGGAUGACGGUACCGGAAGAAUAAGCACCGGCUAACUACGUGCCAGCAGCGCGGUAAUCGUAGGGUGCGAGCGUUAAUCGGAAUUACUGGGCGUAAAGCGUGCGCAGGCGGUCUGUUAAGACAGAUGUGAAAUCCCCGGGCUUAACCUGGGAACUGCAUUUGUGACUGGCAGGCUAGAGUAUGGCAGAGGGGGGUAGAAUUCCACGUGUAGCAGUGAAAUGCGUAGAGAUGUGGAGGAAUACCGAUGGCGAAGGCAGCCCCCUGGGCCAAUACUGACGCUCAUGCACGAAAGCGUGGGGAGCAAACAGUAUUAGAUACCCUGGUAGUCCACGCCCUAAACGAUGUCAACUAGUUGUUGGGGAUUCAUUUCCUUAGUAACGUAGCUAACGCGUGAAGUUGACCGCCUGGGGAGUACGGUCGCAAGAUUAAAACUCAAAGGAAUUGACGGGGACCCGCACAAGCGGUGGAUGAAUGUGGAUUAAUUCGAUGCAACGCGAAAAACCUUACCUACCCUUGACAUGGUCGGAACCCUGGUG